GUGACUGAUUUUAAUUAUUUAAUUUUAUAUGGGACAACUGCUCUGCAUACAAACCAUUAGGGCCACAACCCUGCAAGCAUACAAAGAACCCUUUAAGGUGCAUAGUGUCCUAAGAAGUAGCUUCAGUUUAGUUACACUCAACAACCAAUUUCAACCACAUCAACUGCAACAGUUACCAUGGGGUUACCUCCUAUAAAUAUUAAUAAAGAAAUAGCACAGGGAAAUACUCCUAUAGCAUUAAGAAGCAAGGAACACGCCAGAGGCACGUGAGCAGCAUAACUUUCAGACGCAAUAAACCUGCGUUUACCUUUAGAGUCCUCUCUAGUAUUUUAACACCAUUAGGGCAGAGCCAGGGCAGAGCUCUGUCCGAAGCGUUUCAGAAGCGCUUGCACUAACAGCAGCAGUUCAGAGGCGCUCAGAAGGGCCCCCGGCUUCCAGCACGACUACUGCCGGCUGCACAGCACGAGCAGCUUCCGAGCAGCUCGCUGUAGCCGCGCUCCCUGGUGCUGAUUAAGCCACAACCCCCGGCAGCCCCAUGCCCCCUCCGUCCCCCCCAGCAGCCCCUCACCUGCCCGCUCGGCCCCGCCGCGCACCGGGCGCUUUGCUGCUGGCGGCGCCGGGCGGGGCGGGCCCCGGGGGCGGCACCGGCAGCGGGGGAGGCGCCCGGGGGCCGGGCCGGGGGCUCCGCGGUGUGCGGGGGGCCGAGGUGUCGGGGGGUGUCUGGGGCUGCAGCCAGUCCUGCCUCUUUUGUGUUAGAAAUAUAAGCUAUAUGGAAGCCUGCAGGUCUGCGAGGAGGGAUGGAAACGCAAGCUGCAGUGCUGUUGGAAGCUACAGAGAGUUUAGGAAAAAGUUUACGUGUGAAAGUGAGAAGGGAAUCUCGAGUCAUGGAAACAAUCCUGACCAUUUAAAAGGAAAUAAACGAUGGUAAAAGUCACAAUGUAGGAUGAAAUAUUUUUCUCCAUACUUAAUUAAUUCUUUUUCCUUGAGCUCUGACACUAUUUAAAACUUAUCAACUUUAUCAACUGAUUUUUACCUUUGGCCUCAAUAAAUACUCUUUUUAUGUCUUCUUUCCUUUGGUCUUUCUUUCCAUCUGGUAAUCAGGCUUCCCUAUUUUCACUCAAUUUUAAAUGUUUCACAAAUGUAACAAAUAACACUGGGAAAUGUAAUUAACAAAAAUAUUUGUUUACCCAGAGGUAAAGGCGAAAUUUACUGCUUUUAGUCAAUUACACUAAAUAGCCACCUGGUGGCAUUAGCCACUAAGUAAACUAAGGUUUUCUACUCCGGCUACACAGAAACGUACUUUGUUUUUGUGUCUAUUCUGAUUCAUCAACAGCUGAAGUACACUUGUUAGAUACUUUCUACCAAAAUGAACAUCUGCUUUGACUUAAAGAGAAUUUAAACACAAAAAUAUUCCCUUGUUUAUCUGAAAUGAAU
rnacentral:lncRNA from 1 species